UAUUUUUUAUUUUAUUAUAUAUAAUAUAAUUUAUUAUAUGAUAGUAUAUGUAUAACAUAUAUUAUCUAUAUUUAUGAAUAUAUAUUAUAUAAUAUUAUAUAUUAUAACAUACAAAAUAUAAUAUAUUAUACUAUAUUAUUAUAUAUAACAAUUUUAUAUAAUAAAGGAUAAUAUGAGAAAUAUGGAUUGAUCUUAGCAAUUUAUGCAGGAAACUAGUAAUGAAAAAGAACAUAGG
rnacentral:lncRNA from 1 species